CAAAGACUACUACCAAUGUGGUAUAUCAUGAGGUUAUAUCCGAUUAAUCCCGGUUUAUACGAAUAAGAAUGAACAUUACUUACAUCCUUUUGUCAGGCCGCUCAAUAUGCCCUUUUAUCUCUGAUGAAUAUUUUGUCUAAUUGAAAAUUAUAUCAAAGAUCCUACUUUUUUAAAAGCUUACCAUUUUGUCGGAUCCACCAUUGCUCUAUUAUCCCUGCUGAUUAUUUUGUAUAACGCACAAAAAAUAUACAUAGC